AUGAAUCUCCUAAGUUGGAACUGCCGGGGAGGGGGGAAUUCCCGGACAGUUCAUGACCUUGCGACGAUUGUUGAGUCGCAUUCCCCCACUUUGGUCUUCCUGUGUGAAACUCGUCAGUCCAAGGGUCGGAUGAAGCGAUAUCGCAUGAGGUUAGGCCUGCAAGGAUUUCAUGGAGUUGACAGUAAUGGUAACAGCGGUGGCCUCUCAUUAUUU
rnacentral:rRNA from 1 species